rnacentral:lncRNA from 1 species
AAUUCAUGGGAAGAAGAUUGAACCCUUCUAAUUUAAAUGCAGGAGUGAUGCCGAAAAGAACCAAGAAAAAUGAGACUCAGUUCUGCCCAGGCCGUGAGCUUCACUGCCAGGAACCCUGGUGCUCCCUGGAGUUGGUAGUUAAAGAACAUCCUUCGUUGGUGCCCGGCAGGCAUAAUGCAACUUUCUUCUCCCUGAUCAUCUCCCAGAAAAUAAGACCUGCACAGUUAGAACACUACAGAGAAUGGAUGUAAAGCUCAGUGAUAUACUUCUGUUCAAUUCUCAUCAUGGGAAGAAAUCAAAAG